AUUUUCAUAAAACAUGACCAAGUAUUGUCUGACCAUUUUAGAACAUAUUCACACUUUCGAGUGACCUUACAAAAUUAUCCUUUCCCAUUGUAAUUUUCAAACCUAAAUAAGAGUUCACAUUUUAUAAUGAACUAAAUGUAAAACAUAGGUAAUCAUCAUUUCAAUGGAUGGAAUGAAAAAGCUCGGACAUAGUUUGUGAGGAC
rnacentral:lncRNA from 1 species